GUUUUUUGUGUUGUCUUUUUCCACGAUCAACUGUCACGUUACAAUAGUUGUUCAACCUAAUUAUCUAAGAGCCAAUGACAUUGAGUGACAAACUUGUGCUCCGGUUACACCAUGGAAAGACAAAAAGCAAGUCAGCAAGCAGAGCGUUUCCUGUCACCUACAUACUGGCCGCGACCAAGUUCACUGUUGCCGCAACCAGCAUUUCCUCCAUGCGCCCUCAGUCUUCACGAGACCACGAGAUCAGAGCAUAAAAUCAUGCCCGCUUGAGAGAGAGCAUAAAAUCAAAGUUCAUUUUGAACCCUAAACGGAGAGUAGCUAGCGUAUGUAGGAACGUGUGUAAUGUCAGAGAUGGACUGGUGCCUCCAGAAGCUGAUGGUUGACCUCUGUCUGCACUGGAGCCUGUUCAGUCACUCCGCCAGGCCGCCCCUGCAGGAAACGACACACAGACCCCACCUUCAUGACGUGGUACCGACAUGAUGUCACCCAGGUAGCCGUUUGAUCAGCAGCAUCGUCCUGGAAACAUCUGCAGACCUUGUUCCUAUGGGUCCUUGGAGUUCCUGUCUGUAUGUUUCUGGGGCGUCUGCCGCACUGCCAGAGUGGACCUGACCCAGUCAGUGACCGACCAUCUGCUGCCCUCUCCCUCCCCAGUCUGCAGAGGACACUCAGCAACAACCCCAGCCUCCGGUCUGCAGAGGACACUCAGCAACAACCCCAGCAUCCAGUCUGCAUAGGACACUCAGGAACAACCCCAGCAUCCAGUCUGCAUAGGACACUCAGCAACAACCCCAGCCUCCAGUCUGCAUAGGACACUCAGCAACAACCCCAGCCUCCAGUCUGCAUAGGACACUCAGGAACAACCCCAGCCUCCAGUCUGCAUAGGACAUUCAGCAACAACCCCAGCCUCCAGUCUGCAUAGGACACUCAGCAACAACCCCAGCCUCCAGUCUGCAUAGGACACUCAGGAACAACCCCAGCCUCCAGUCUGCAUAGGACAUUCAGCAACAACCCCAGCCUCCAGUCUGCAUAGGACACUCAGCAACAACCCCAGCCUCCAGUCUGAAUAGGACACUCAGCAACAACCCCAGCUUCCAGUCUGCUCUGGGUCAGGGUGUCAUUGCUCUUUCCUUCUCCCUCCCCAUCAGACGGGUAGUUGGAGAUGUCAGUGUCUGCCAUUGGUCUAUUAUUAAGAGCUUUACACAUCAUACCAUGAUAUCAAUGUAAUAUGUUCAUUCCAACUGUCAUUGUUUUGGCAGGUCUUUUCCUUCAUUCAAAUAUUUGAUCCAACACUUGGAUGCCUUUUAUGUGGCAUAUUAUUGCAAAUCAAGUAUUAUGUACAAUAGGAUCAAAAACCUCUCUUAAACUGUCAUCAAUGAGGAUUAAGGAACUUAUGUGGAAUUAUAAAGGGUGGGCACAAAGGAACAUGCUGUUACACUAACAAUAACAGAACACUGUGUUUUACUACUGUUUUGUUCGGCACACACAGCACACCUGGAUAUAGGUUCCCAUGUGGAAAAAUCCAAGACACUCUCUCUCCACCCUGUCAUGUGCAGACAAGACCAGCAUACCAGCCCCCUUCCUUGUCAGCCACCCACCCCACCCCAGUCCCCUUCCCUGUCAGCCACUCACCCCACCCCAGUGCAGCCUACCAGCCCCCUUCCCUGUCAGCCACCCACCCCACCCCAGUCCCCUUCCCUGUCAGCCACUCACCCCACCCCAGUGCAGCCUACCAGCCCCCUUCCCUGUCAGCCAUCCACCCCAGUCUACCAGCCCCCUUCCCUGUCAGCGACUCACCCCACCCCAGUGCAGCCUACCAGCCCCCUACCCUGUCAGCCACCCACCCCAGCCUACCAGCCCCAUUCCCUGUCAGCCACUCACCCCACCCCAAUGCAGCCUACCAGCCCCCUACCCUGUCAGCCACCCACCGUAGCCCACGCAGCAGCAGCCCAGCAGCACGCUUUCUGAUUUGAAUCAACUUGGCCCUGCUAGGCAGAGUGCCAGCAGACGUCACACUCUAACUAGCUACAGAGAGCAGGAACACGAUGUUCCUGGCUUGUCCUAAAAAAUGUGUUCAUUUACCCUGUCUGCACUGAAUGCAUUGGAAGUAAGUACACAGCUCACACAGCUCUCCCUCUCUCUCGACCUAUGAGGGCCAGGACCUGCCUCCUAGCUAGCAUGUUGUUGCUGAACCAACAGUAGUAAAAGGCUGCUUUAUAACCCUGCUGGCACCGCCUAGAUGUGGUACUGAUGAACUUAUUAACCCUGUUGGCUGCAAAAAUGCUGCGGCGGACCUGGGUUCAAAUGCCAUUUGAACUCUCUCUUUCAAAUAGUUUGAGUGAUUGCUUUAGUGCCUGCCUGGAGUGCCAGGUGGGCGGGGCUUGUACUUUUGGGACCUUUUUGGUUCCAUUGCAACCGGUAAGCUCAAUCAAGUGCAGUUAUUUGAAAUGAUCUCAAAUUGUUUCUGAACCUAGGUCUUGGCUUUGGAAGAUUAUGCUUGGGUGUGGAUUUGCCUUCAUCUGGCAAAUGGCUAACUCUCUGGCCGUGAAAUACAUUGUCACCAUGCAUGCUCCUUUUAUCUACCC
ensembl:lncRNA